rnacentral:rRNA from 1 species
UUCUAUGGUCAUAUCAUGCUUAAUGUGCCUGAUCUUGUUCGAUCCUGGAAGCUAAGCAGAAUCAGGUUCAGUUAUUACUUGGAUGGGAGACCACCUGGGAAUACCGAGUGUGGAUG